AUUGAACGCUGGCGGCAGGCCUAACACAUGCAAGUCGAACGAGUGGCGGCCGGGUGAGUAAUGUCUGGGACACUGCCCGAAGGCGGGGGAAAACUACUGGAAACUGUAGCUAAUACCGAAUACCAUCGGAUGUGCUCAGAUGGUAUUUGCUUGUAGGUGGGGUAACUGCUCAUCUAGACGACGAUCCCUAGCUGGUCUGAGAGGAUGACCAGCCACGCGGGAACUAGGACACGGUCCAUACUCCUACGGGAGGAAGGAGAGGGGACUAUUGCAAAGUGGGCGCAAGCCUGAUGAGGCCAUGGCAGGGGUAGAUGGGGGGCCGUCGGGGUGAAAGGUACUUUCUGCAAGGGGGCGUUACUCGCAGAAGAGGCACCGGCUAACUCCGUGCCAGCAGCCGCGGUAAUUC
rnacentral:rRNA from 1 species